AAAUGACAAAUUUACCUUUCAAAGGUAAACUUGUUAUUUCUCCCUUCCUCUUCUUCCUUCUUCGUUUCUUCUUUGUUCAGGUCAAGGAACAGAUACUCGCCGGGGAUGAGGAAUACACUUACAGAGAAGAGACUCGUUGACUGCCGCUGCUGUCAAUUGGGAACAGAGACGGACAAGAAGGGGGGGAGUAGUCUAUGCUCACUACCCUCUUUGAACGGAGACAGCACUCUCGCCCACUGCCACUGCGAUUGGGAAUAGAAAUGGGGAAGAAGAAGCGGGUAUAGGCAGAUAAUGGUAAACCAAGACUUACGGAGAUGAGGUUUUCAUUUCUGCAACCAAAAACAGAGAAGGAUGGAGAGAAAUGCAUUAAGGGGAUCGCUGAUGCUAGGCUGUGAUGAGAUGGAACUUUAAAUAGGAGUUCUGAUCACUACUGGUAGUAGGUAGAUGGAUUGUGCAAUUAUAAGCGAGGAGGAAGAAAACAAGAAAUUAAUGGAGAUCAAGAAAUAGAUUUUGAUCUCUUCGUUCUCUCCUUUUCCUUCUCUGCAAAUCAAACCCACAGAAAGCGAGGAAACAACAAAUGCAGAAACAGCCCACGCUUAUGGGUCUUCCUCUGUUCUUCUUCUUCAUCACUUCUUUCUCUCAUCUUUGAAUGUAAGUAAACAAACCAAUCAUUACCCAAUACCCAUUCCCACUUUCUGUUUAACUAUCUUACUUAUCUUUUACUUUUCUCAAUGCAUGUUUCCGUUUCCCGGAA